GUAAGCCAGUGAGCGGGUUUCCGGACGCUUAAGCGUCUGGAGGAAACUCCUCCGCGCAGGUGGAAUCACACCACGGCGACGUGGGGGGCGGGAGCCCCGGCUCCGGCGCAGAAAAGUCACUCUCACCCGGUGCAUGUGGAUGAUAGGCGGUUCAACCGCUGACAAUACCGGGAUGUAGAGGUGAAACUGCCGUCCUGUGGGCGUUAAGGCGAAGGAAGCCUAUGAGCUUCCACCUGAGGCUUCAGUAGGCCGCAUUAGUCGAAUCCCGCUUAAAACAAAAGGAGGGUUACGGCUGGCAUAC
rnacentral:RNase_P_RNA from 1 species